rnacentral:rRNA from 1 species
UACGUAGGGUGCGAGCGUUUAAUCGGAAUUACUGGGCGUAAAGCGUGCGCAGGCGGUUUUGUAAGCCAGGUGUGAAAUCCCCGGGCUCAACCUGGGAAUGGCAUUUGGGACUGCAAGGCUGGAGUGCGGCAGAGGAGACUGGAAUUCCUGGUGUAGCAGUGAAAUGCGUAGAUAUCAGGAGGAACACCGAUGGCGAAGGCAGGUCUCUGGGCUGACACUGACGCUCAUGCACGAAAGCUAGGGGAGCAAACAGG